GAGAGUACCGGAUAAUAUUUCGAACCGCAUGGUUCGAUAGUGAAAGAUGGUUUUGCUAUCACUUAUAGAUGGACCCGCGCCGUAUUAGCUAGUUGGUAAGGUAACGGCUUACCAAGGCGACGAUACGUAGCCGACCUGAGAGGGUGAUCGGCCACACUGGAACUGAGACACGGUCCAGACUCCUACGGGAGGCAGCAGUAGGGAAUCUUCCGCAAUGGGCGAAAGCCUGACGGAGCAACGCCGCGUGAGUGAUGAAGGUCUUCGGAUCGUAAAACUCUGUUAUUAGGGAAGAACAUACGUGUAAGUAACUAUGCACGUCUUGACGGUACCUAAUCAGAAAGCCACGGCUAACUACGUGCCAGCAGCCGCGGUAAUACGUAGGUGGCAAGCGUUAUCCGGAAUUAUUGGGCGUAAAGCGCGCGUAGGCGGUUUUUUAAGUCUGAUGUGAAAGCCCACGGCUCAACCGUGGAGGGUCAUUGGAAACUGUAAAACUUGAGUGCAGAAGAGGAAAGUGGAAUUCCAUGUGUAGCGGUGAAAUGCGCAGAGAUAUGGAGGAACACCAGUGGCGAAGGCGACUUUCUGGUCUGUAACUGACGCUGAUGUGCGAAAGCGUGGGGAUCAAACAGGAUUAGAUACCCUGGUAGUCCACGCCGUAAA
rnacentral:rRNA from 1 species